CUUGGCUAAAUCACAUGUCCUUUGACUACUUUUUUUUCCUACUCUUCUAGAUCUUUCUAUUUUUUCAUUCUCAUUCUUCCAUAUUCCAAUAAUAAUCUUCACUCAGAACCAAAUGGGGCAAGAAAGUAUUUGGAAAGAAGCAAUCUUUUAGAAGAGGGACCAAAUGGGUAAAAAGAAGAUAAUUGAUUUUUCCCUUUCUUUGUGAAACUCGAUUAUGGGUUUCUGAUGUUGAAGUGGAAUGAUUAAAAAUUUUCAAAUCAA